CCGAUAUAGUAAUUCCUAAAAUUGAGAUAUUAGCGGUAGAUCGAUAUUUUCCAGGAAAAGGUGCUCUUUUAGUGGCAAUGAAAUGGAAUGGCCACCAAAUUCAAUAAUUAAAUGCAAUUUUCAUUAUUUCAUCUUUCCCGCCCAUUUUUUUCACAACUAUCACCCAUUACCUCCAAAUAUUUUCCCUGUAAAUUGAAUGGAUUCGAUUAAAGAAAAAUCUUAGACAAGAAAUAAGCAAAAGGGAUUUUAUCUCUCUUAGCCACUCCGCUGCCAAUCCCAUCUUUCUCCAUCAUCUCCGACCACCAUCCCAAGUAAUGACUUCUUCUCGCUCUUUCUCAAUGAGACAACAUCAUAUUCAUCUGGGCAAUUCUAAAGGCAAAGAGAAUACUUGAAAGUUGCAGAGCUAAGAAAGAUGUUUCUUUUUAUUGAAAAGCUUUUGGGGAGGGCUUCUAGUAUUGGAGCAUUU